CCAGAGGCCAUUGCUAUCAGGGUUUGACUAAGCCAUGCGAGUCGAGAGGUGUAAGACCUCGGCAUACUGCUCAGUAACACGUGGUUAACCUGCCCUAAGGUGGAGAAUACUCCCGGGAAACUGGGGCUAAUGCUCCAUAGUGGAUAUGUCCUGGAAUGGUAUAUCCUCGAAAGAUCCGUCGCCUUAGGAUGGGACUGCGUCCGAUUAGGUUGUUGGCGGGGUAACGGCCCACCAAGCCAUUGAUCGGUACGGGUUGUGGGAGCAAGAUCCCGGAGAUGGAUUCUGAGACAUGAAUCCAGGCCCUACGGGGCGCAGCAGGCGCGCAAACUUUACAAUGCGAGCAAUCGUGAUAAGGAAACCCUGAGUGCCUGUCGAUGCAGGCUGUUCAUAUAUCUAAAUCAUAUGUGAAGAAAGGGCAGGGCAAGACCGGUGCCAGCCGCCGCGGUAAUACCGGCUGCUCGAGUGAUGGCCACUAUUACUGGGUUUAAAGCGUCCGUAGCUUGACUGUUAGGUCUCUUGGGAAAUCUUCACGCUCAACGUGAAGGCGUCUAAGAGAUACCGGCAGUCUUGGAACUGGGAGAGGUAAACCGUACUUCGGGGGUAGGAGUGAAAUCUUGUAAUCCUCGAGGGACGACCUAUGGCGAAGGCAGUUUACCAGAACAGCUUCGACAGUGAGGGACGAAAGCUGGGGGAGCAAACGGGAUUAGAUACCCCAGUAGUCCCAGCCGUAAACAAUGUGCGUUAGGUGUGUCGGUAACCACGUGUUACUGAUGCGCCGAAGAGAAAUCGUGAAACGCACCACCUGGGAAGUACGGUCGCAAGGCUGAAACUUAAAGGAAUUGGC
rnacentral:rRNA from 1 species